ensembl:lncRNA
CUUUUUUUUUUUGCUCUUCUUGUUGCUGAACAUACAAUGCUGUGCGUAAAUUACAAACGCACAUGUAAAGUCAGUCAAGUGGAAGCAGUUUGAUAGCCCACACUCAUGUUUCAAUGCCUAGAUAAGAGCAAAGUCUCCUAAAGAGGUGUUGAACAUGAGUGGAAAGUUAUAAACCCUCUGUAAUUGUGCUAGCUCUGGAGUGUCCACUGGCAGCAACGGACAAGGACUUGGGGAAGAUCAGCCCCUCUGCCAGAUGCAUGGAAGUGGUGCCCAGCAUUCGGUUCACCAUGCCAGGUUACUCCAAACAUCUGCAAGUUCACAACAGCUUCAAAGUACAAACAAAAAUAAGGAGCUUUUUGAUGAUGAUGCUAACCCUUAAAACCCUUCUGACAUUUAGUCCGUUGGAAAUGAGUCCGGUUCCUGGGGAAAACUCAUCAAACACAAUGAAUUUGUAUUGCUUCCCAGCAGGAAUGUUUUGGAAAAGAAAAAUACGCAUGCAAAAUAAGCCUGACCACAUGCUUCUUGAGAUCAGAUCAAAGCUGCCCCGUGAUUUUUGCAGGCUUACGUGAGACUGCAUUGCAAAAGCAAAGCCAAAUCUUCUCCUGCAUGGGUGCCUCUUAAGAAUCUCAAUGAGAAUUUCAGAGGUCCGCAAUGCUGGCCAGCCUCUGCUCCCAUAACCCAGCCUUCCAUAGGAACCCUAUCUGCACAGCUAAUGGCAAAAUGUGGCCUCCAGGAGGGGAGAUUAUUCCACCUUCUUCACGUGGCUUCCACUGAAGUCAGUGGAAUUUCUUAGGUGAAAAAAUCAAUUGUGAGGGUUGCAGGAUUAAGGUCAGUAUUCCUUUCAUCUUGUAUACACACACACACACGCGCACACUUACUUUAAAGAAAACAUCCACCACACGAUUUCUAGAUUGCAAAUUAUAUAUAUAUAUCUUUAAAAACUGGAGAGAACAUAAACAGCCUCUCCACAUAUAUAUAUGUAUUCACUGAGUCACAUAGAAUAUGAAAAAAAAAACUAUAUUAUGUAAAUCAUCAUAUUAUCUAUAAUUCUCCAACUGACAAUUGUUUUUAUAGAGACACAGUGCAUUCGUUCUCCUUUUUAAAAACAUAUUAUGUGUCUUCAUUGGCUUGGUAGCAUAUUAGAAUGAAGGCGUAUGGAUAAAAAACGCGGAGGGUUAAACAAACCCCUUGAGUCACAUUAUGUUUGGGUGAAUCAAAACAGGAUCCUUCCCCAAAGUAGCAUAAAUAAAUCCUCCCUAUGGAAAAGUGUCAGCGAUUUAAGGGUUAACACAGAUUGGAAAAUAAUUUGUUUUAAAAACAUCUUAUUAGAGGACUGCACAGCCAAGUAUUUGGAAUUCACCCCCUUUAAAAAUGACAGCACGUUUGGCAAGUGUGAGCAAACGUCUUGAACUUUACUGGGUUUGAGAGAUGUAAGCAGAGCUAUUCACAGACAACCACAA